rnacentral:rRNA from 1 species
CUCCCAGACUCCUACGGGAGGCAGCAGUGGGGAAUAUUGCACAAUGGGGGAAACCCUGAUGCAGCGACGCCGCGUGAGCGAUGAAGUAUUUCGGUAUGUAAAUCUCUAUCAGCAGGGAAGAAAAUGACGGUACCUGACUAAGAAGCCCCGGCUAACUACGUGCCAGCAGCCGCGGUAAUACGUAGGGGGCAAGCGUUAUCCGGAUUUACUGGGUGUAAAGGGAGCGUAGGCGGCCAUUCAAGCCAGAUGUGAAAGCCCGGGGCUCAACCCCGGGACUGCAUUUGGAACUGUGUGGCUAGAGUGUCGGAGAGGCAGGCGGAAUUCCUAGUGUAGCGGUGAAAUGCGUAGAUAUUAGGAGGAACACCAGUGGCGAAGGCGGCCUGCUGGACGAUGACUGACGUUGAGGCUCGAAAGCGUGGGGAGCAAACAGGAUUAGAUACCCGUGUA